UUCAACAAGGACAUCGCCAAAACAAGAAGAAUGUUGAGUAUGUGUUGGCUGCGUGCAGGAUUAAUUCUACAGCAGCCAUGUGUUGUCUUCUUCACAAAAAAGAUCCUAUUUGAACAGCAUACACAAUCAAAUGCUUUAUAGUGGGCAUGGAUGAAGACGCCAUCAACGAGGCCACUGAAGAAACCAGUGUUGGGAUUUAUGUUCUUAAAGAACAUGCUUCAAGUGAUGAACCAGGGGACGUUGGUAUUGUCCUUGAAGGCAUCAAGAUGUUGCAAGAUCUUUAUAAUGUAGCAUUACCUGUUGCUACGCUGUUUGGACUAAUGUACAGUAUGCCCUGAUCUUCAGCUACCCUGCUUGCCUUUGAUCCAAAGGAUUUGCAUGGAACUUGAGGAGGGAAACUUACCAACAAAGCACUUGCUCUAAAAAACAGGCUCUUCCAGUGAAAGGGCCAGAGAGACUGCGCCAUCAACCAAACAGCGUAGUUGUCCCUAAAGGCAUCGUUGGUAUGGCUGUACUCUUUGGACUAGUUUUUUUUGUUUGAAUUAACUGGACAGGAUUUGCAUGGAGCUGCAUGGAAAUAACCUUUUGCAAACCAAGCAAAAGUUUUCUCUCUAGAAAACAGACUACAUUAAAGACCAACAGGCAUCUUUGGUACUGCUAUACCAGAUGGAAUUUAUUUAUUUUUUUACACAGGGUUAAAAAAUGUUGUCUUUUGAAAACAGAGUGCACAAUUUAAAGGGUAACUUCGGGUUUUUCAACUUGGACCCUAUGUUCCUCUGUUGUUGUUACUGUUGGGAACAACGAUCUUCGACAUUGGUCCAGUAUAAAGCGAGUAGGCCUGUCACGAUAACAAGUUUUGCUGGACGAUAAAUUGUCCCAGAAAUUAUUGUGAUAAACUAUAAUCUUGUCGUCCUGAGACCAUUUUCAUCUAAUAUAAUGAUAAUGGCAUAAUAAUGCAGGUACACUUUUUCAAAGAUCAAUAAACUUUUAUUUCUAAGGAAUUUUUAACACUAGAACUGGAAGACAUCGUCCACAGCGGCGUAUGUCCGAGCACGGCGGAUAUCGCUCAUAUUCUUUCUCUUUUUUUUUCUCUUGACGCUGCCUUUACUGUUCAAGGGUCCUGCUUUUGCCAAUAUCUGCUUUUGUGUUUUACUUUUGUGUCAAUAAUAAAGAUCCUUUUCUGAAAUGCAAUUUAUAAUCUGUUGAUGUAAUGCACUUGAACUGAAUUGUAAUAUAAUACACUUGUAGUGUAAUAGCAACAUUCAUGCUUAAGUAUAACAAAAUGGGGAUAAAAGUACAGAUGAAAUAUA